CAGCCGCCGCGGUAAUACCGGCAGCCCGAGUGCUGGCCGAUCUUAUUGGGCCUAAAGCGUCCGUAGCUGGCCGCACAAGUCCAUCGGAAAAUCCACCCGCUCAACGGGUGGGCGUCCGGUGGAAACUGUGUGGCUUGGGACCGGAAGGCGCGACGGGUACGUCCGGGGUAGGAGUGAAAUCCUGUAAUCCUGGACGGACCGCCGAUGGCGAAAGCACGUCGCGAGAACGGAUCCGACAGUGAGGGACGAAAGCUAGGGUCUCGAACCGGAUUAGAUACCCGGGUAGUCCUAGCCGUAAACGAUGCCUGCUAGGUGUGGCUCCAACUACGAGUGGGUGCUGUGCCGUAGGGAAGCCGCUAAGCAGGCCGCCUGGGAAGUACGUCCGCAAGGAUGAAACUUAAAGGAAUUGGCGGG
rnacentral:rRNA from 1 species